AACGAACGCUGGCGGCAGGCUUAACACAUGCAAGUCGAGCGCCCCGCAAGGGGAGCGGCAGACGGGUGAGUAACGCGUGGGAACGUACCUUUUGGUUCGGAACAACUCCGGGACACUGGAGCUAAUACCGGAUAAGCCCUAACGGGGAAAGAUUUAUCGCCGAAAGAUCGGCCCGCGUCUGAUUAGCUAGUUGGUGAGGUAACGGCUCACCAAGGCGACGAUCAGUAGCUGGUCUGAGAGGAUGAUCAGCCACACUGGGACUGAGACACGGCCCAGACUCCUACGGGAAGCAGCAGUGGGGAAUAUUGGACAAUGGGCGCAAGCCUGAUCCAGCCAUGCCGCGUGAGUGAUGAAGGCCUUAGGGUUGUAAAGCUCUUUUGUCCGGGAAGAUAAUGACUGUACCGGAAGAAUAAGCCCCGGCUAACUUCGUG
rnacentral:rRNA from 1 species